rnacentral:rRNA from 1 species
GAUGAACGCUGGCGGCGUGCUUAACACAUGCAAGUCGAACGAAGACAUCUGAGUGCUUGCACUUGGAUGGACUGAGUGGCGGACGGGUGAGUAACGCGUGGGUAACCUGCCUUAUACAGGGGGAUAACAGUUAGAAACGACUGCUAAUACCGCAUAAGCGCACGGUAUCGCAUGAUACAGUGUGAAAAACUCCGGUGGUAUAAGAUGGACCCGCGUCUGAUUAGCUUGUUGGUGAGGUAACGGCCCACCAAGGCGACGAUCAGUAGCCGGCCUGAGAGGGUGAACGGCCACAUUGGGACUGAGACACGGGCCCAAACUCCUACGGGAGGCAGCAGUGGGGAAUAUUGCACAAUGGGGGAAACCCUGAUGCAGCGACGCCGCGUGAGUGAUGAAGUAUUUCGGUAUGUAAAACUCUAUCAGCAGGGAAGAUAAUGACGGUACCUGACUAAGAAGCACCGGCUAANACGUGCCAGCAGCCG